CUGUGCUAGCAGCUCUCAGUUGCAUCACAGUGUAGUGUGGACCUAACUCCUGAGGGGCAUUACUGCUCCUUGGAAAAGACAUCUGAUAAUUCACCAGACUGUCACGACUUUUCAAGUAUCAUGGAUAGCUAAAACCCCACAGUGGAAURAAGAUUCAGACUGAAACAGUCAAUGGCAAAUAAACAUGUGUCAUCUUAAAAAUAAGACAGUGUGCUGUGGAAAUAAAUCCUGUGGAUUAGUGAGAAAGAACAUGGUGCAUCAUGUCCUGGGCUGCACGGUGAAGUGGAAAUGCUGAGAGAAGUUUUCCCUGUCGUCCCUUGUGGAACAAUGGAGUUGCAGCUUCAUGACCUGCAUUGUAUUUUCCAAAUGGCAAAAAUAAAGUUGGGAUGUAAUCACUAUGAAGAAGGAACAUGAAAAGAGAUGCAUGAAAUGAAGCUGGUGUCACUAUGACRUAUGAGACACAAAAAGGCAAAAACUGACAGGGUUUGCCAGACAGGCUCCUGCUCUGAGAAACAGUAUCAGGGCAACUCUUCAAACGCUGAUGAGCCUUGUACACAGCUUUGGAGACGAGAAACCUUCCUAGCCCCUGGCUGCUGGGGACAGCUCAAGGGCCAGGAUUCCUGGGCAUAGGCAAGAGCCUCUUCUGCUCCUGUAUCUGACACUCACCUCUUCAGGACUUUGCAACAAUUAAUGACUUUUC